rnacentral:rRNA from 1 species
GAUGAACGCUGGCGGCGUGCCUAAUACAUGCAAGUCGAGCGAACGGACGAGAAGCUUGCUUCUCUGAUGUUAGCGGCGGACGGGUGAGUAACACGUGGAUAACCUACCUAUAAGACUGGGAUAACUUCGGGAAACCGUAGCUAAUACCGGAUAAUAUUUUGAACCGCAUGGUUCAAAGGUGAAAGACGGUCUUGCUGUAACUUAUAGAUGGAUCCGCGCUGCAUUAGCUAGUUGGUAAGGUAACGGCUUACCAAGGCAACGAUGCAUAGCCGACCUGAGAGGGUGAUCGGCCACACGGGAACUGAGACACGGUCCAGACUCCUACGGGAGGCAGCAGUAGGGAAUCUUCCGCAAUGGGCGAAAGCCUGACGGAGCAACGCCGCGUGAGUGAUGAAGGUCUUCGGAUCGUAAAACUCUGUUAUUAGGGAAGAACAUAUGUGUAAGUAACUGUGCACAUCUUGACGGUACCUAAUCAGAAAGCCACGGCUAACUACGUG